AUGAACGCUGGCGGCGUGCCUAAUACAUGCAAGUCGCGCGAACAGACGAGGAGCUUGCUCCUCUGACGUUAGCGGCGGACGGGUGAGUAACACGUGGAUAACCUACCUAUAAGACUGGGAUAACUUCGGGAAACCGGAGCUAAUACCGGAUAAUAUAUUGAACCGCAUGGUUCAAUAGUGAAAGACGGUUUUGCUGUCACUUAUAGAUGGAUCCGCGCCGCAUUAGCUAGUUGGUAAGGUAACGGCUUACCUAGGCAACGAUGCGUAGCCGACCUGAGAGGGUGAUCGGCCACACUGGAACUGAGACACGGUCCAGACUCCUACGGGAGGCAGCAGUAGGGAAUCUUCCGCAAUGGGCGAAAGCCUGACGGAGCAACGCCGCGUGAGUGAUGAAGGUCUUCGGAUCGUAAAACUCUGUUAUUAGGGAAGAACAAAUGUGUAAGUAACUAUGCACGUCUUGACGGUACCUAAUCAGAAAGCCACGGCUAACUACGUG
rnacentral:rRNA from 1 species